ACAGGGCCCCCCUCCAUUCCCUACCUAUUAGUGAAGAUCCGUUCGGCAGAGUAGCUGUUGACAUUAUAGUUGCACAGGCACUUUGGUGCACUUUGGUGACUCUAGAGAACCUCGGGCCAAUCGCAUUUCCCUGUGAUGGCGACUUUGCAUUCGGAUGUCUGCCCUAUCAACUUUCGAUGCCACUUUCUGAGCCUACCAUGGUGACAACGGGUAACGGGGAAUCAGGGUUUGAUUCCG